UUGUUAUUGUUGCAUAAACAAUAAGUUCUAAGAAUAAGUUUUCAAGUAUUGUUGAAGAAAUUUAAUCGAAUUGUUGAAGAUUUAUCGAAAGCAGGUGGUGAGUAAAAAAAUGGAUCUUAAGAGCGAAGAAGCAGUUGUAAAUGAACAAAAAGAAGUAAGGUUGGAUGAUUCCGUCGCCACGGUGCAUAUUAUUACGGAUCAAACACGGAAAAAACGAGAAGAAACAAAAUCUUUAGAGUCGCAAGAAAAAUUAAACGUGGACCAACAAACAUUGAAAUUAGGUGAGAAAGUGGGAGGAACAGAUGAAGG